AUCAUUAACGAGUUAGGGUCUCUCUGGCCCGACCUCCCAACCCUUUGUCUACUUGACCAUCGUUGCUUCGGCGAGCCCGUCCUCACGGACCGCCGGAGGGAUCUUUACUGGCCCUCUGGUCCGCGCUCGUCGGUAGCCCAACCUUUAAAAUCUUUAACUAAACGUGCCUUAAUCUAAGUACAAUUAUUAAAUAAAAGCAAAACUUUCAACAACGGAUCUCUUGGUUCUGGCAUCGAUGAAGAACGCAGCGAAAUGCGAUAAGUAAUGCGAAUUGCAGAAUUCCAGUGAGUCAUCGAAUCUUUGAACGCACAUUGCGCCCUUUGGUAUUCCGAAGGGCAUGCCUGUUCGAGCGUCAUUAUCACCCCUCAAGCCCUCGGCUUGGUGUUGGACGGUUUGGUGGAGGCCCCCUCGGGGGCUCCUGCCCCUCCCAAAGACAAUGACGGCGGCCUCGUUGGACCCCCGGUACACUGAGUUCUUCACGGGACACGUAUCGGACACAUGGGUUUACGGGACACGGUCUGCCUCCCCUCAGGGAGAAUCUUUCUAAGGUUGACC
rnacentral:rRNA from 1 species